ACGGUAGGGGGGUGGGAAUGAGGAAGCAGACAUUAUAAUCAUAUUCAUUGCGAGAGUGGAACAGCAUUGUUCAAAUCCAGAAGAAGGAUCAAGAAAUGGGUUCUAAACAUUCAAUGGGUCACCCACAAAGUUAGUCUUUUCCAACUAUCUGAACUUCUACACUAAGAGAGGUGUAAUAGUGUUGCCAAAACUGUAUACAUCAUUUAAAUCUUGUAUACAUCAUUUAAAUCUUGAAGGGUGGAGAUUGAAAAUGAUUGCAAUCAAAUAAACAAAAGCUAUAAUGUAUGAUGCUGAUGAUGAUUUCGAUC